rnacentral:snoRNA from 1 species
AUCCCAGGUAAGAUUGAAUAUUUUCAUUAGUGCUUAACUGAUUCAUGGGAGGCCAAAAUUAAGUGUUGGAAGUUUCGCUGAUAAAUGCCACCAUUUGAUUAUUACUUGAGGUGUUUACUAGUAACUAUGCCGCACACUC